AACUCUAAACUUCAUAAACACGCGCUCUCUCUUUACAAACUUUAUUUAUCUCGCACAACCCUCUCUUCCACUGUCGAUUGUGUCCCUCCACCUCACCCCCAUUGGCGCCGCCGACUCUCUCCAUUCGUUGUCAUCCAUCUAUGACCUCUUAUCUCUUUGUUUGUUGCUCUAAUAUAAAGAUAUUCAAUGACAAAUCACAAUAUAAGAGAGAGUUCAUCGACAAAAUUCAACAAGAGGGUCCAAUAUGCAAGUAGUUGAAGAGCUAAAGCAACAAGAAGACCAAGAUAAUGAAGAAAAUACGAUAAAACGAAGACAAUUAAAAAAACAUAAAAAUAUAGUUUAUGUUUAAUGUAUGAUUUUUUUUGUGCGAAUUACUUGAAGAAUUUGAUCUUUUUUAUUU